rnacentral:lncRNA from 1 species
UUAGUGUGUUAGAGGUCAUGUGUUCAAAUUCUUGCGCGAGCGUGGAUGUUAUUUUUGUUUCGGUUGGCUGAGAGAGUUUGAGUGGUCUUGAAAUUCUGAGGUGGAGUUGUUAGUGGGGUGCUGGGAUUGUGAUCAAAUUUUUAUUUUGUUUUAUUUUUUUUUCAAAUUUUCUCUCUCUUCUAAAAGAAAGUCUGAUGUCAGUUUUGUUAUCCCUAUUUUCUAUAUUUUCGUCCUUUCUCCCUUUUACUAUCUCUUCCUAUUCUAUUCAAACUGUCAUCAAAUCUUUACAUGUUAGGAUUUCCGUCUUCUUU